AAUUAUUUUUGUGUCUGUUAAGAGUCCUUUUAUUAGGGCUGGACACAAGGCAAGUACUUGCCAAAUUGAAGGUACUUGUGACCCGACUUGCCUUGUACAAGUAAUUGGAUUAUUGGCUUGUUACUUGGCUUUUUAAAUCGAGUACUUGGUCUAGCAAGUACUUGUCUAAAUUUUGAUUACUUGCAAGUUACUUGAUCCGCUUUGUUACUUGCCAAAAUUAAAUACUUUUACUUGAACGUAAAAUAUUUGGAAGAGAAAAAACCUAUUUCAUACAUCUAUACUAUUAAUUGGGAAGCAUUGUGUGAACUACAACAUUGUAAGGGUAAUUAAAAA
rnacentral:sRNA from 1 species